rnacentral:lncRNA from 1 species
GGCGCCAAGAAAUUUCUGACAUCGCAACAAAUAGUAUUCAUGAGGCGAAGAGGAAGUACCCAUACAUGAUGAGCUUUGAGCGGUGACUUUGCAAGACUAACUAAGAUUGACCCUUCACCUUGUAUUGCAAAAGGGAUCAACAAAAUUGUGAAAAUGGCAGAAAUGAAACGCAUCCCUUGCGAAGCAAGUGUAAUGGUAUCACUUGAACAGGCUCGUGAGAUGUCACCGGAGAGGCUGCGAACACGACGACCCGAGCGUUCCUGCAACCCCUUGCAUCGUAUUUUCUGGAGCAGACGUUGUAGAGGCUGACCUUCUCCACAUCAAGGUGGACCGCGAGAAGUUGUUUGCGGUGAAAAAUGGGGAGGAGGGGCUGGCGGCUGUCUUAUCUGCUUACUGGCUCUUCAAUACCCAGUACGACCGCAAGCUGUUCAACACUCUUGUCGUGUUGGAGCGCCUUUUCCUCGGGCUUACAUUGAGUGCCCCUAGAGUAGUGGCUACAAAGUUCUUGAACAAAGUCACCAAAAGUGAGCCAUGUUGAAUGUGCUGUUGGCCGUCUUGGCCGUAA